rnacentral:lncRNA from 1 species
AGAAAUCUCUUCUUCAUUCAUUUACUCCUGAGUUUUGAGUAGAGGAGGAAGGAGGUCUGCCUUCCUACUGGGAGGGAUGCAUGAAUGUGUUCAGUGUGGGUUUACCAUUUUGUUCAGCAACAGCCACAGAUCUGUUCUUUGGUACUUUUUAAAUAAUCAUUAUGCUUUGUGCUUCCUUCACAGAAUUUUCUAUCAAAAGGAGAUGUGCUGCUACUUGCCCUAAAAGCAGUGCUCUAGUGAAGGUUGUCUGUUGCAACUGAUAGCUCUACGAGUUCCUAAUUUCCUUGAGUUUUGCUCUCAUCCAUCAUGGACAUCCUUGAAAAUUUAUGCUUGUGGCCUUUACCACCAGAUGGUCUAUCAUCCCCCUCUCCCCUGCUUUCUUUGACACUUCAUCGUCUUUCCCCUGCUUUCUUUGACACUUCAUCGUCUUUCCCUUUUCUCUUCUUCUGUAAGUUUCCUUCUGCUAGUUCUGUAGUUUGAGAAUCAAAUAAACCUCAGCAUUCAAUUCAAGGGUUUUGAUUUUUUAAUUCCCCUCAAAACAUCCCUUUCACAAAACCUACAGGUAGAGAGUCUUUCUCCAGGUCUCAGCAGGCAGGGAUGCUGGGAUGAGCAGGACUAGGUCCAAUCUCUUUUGACUCCUGGCUUGGAUUGCCUACCAGGUAAUAACCUCACAUUCAGACAGGGUAAAGAAAGAGGAGAAACCCACAACUGAGUCUUUCCUCAGUGAAACCUUAAACUUCAGGGCUGCUCCGUCCCUUCCUUUCUUCUCUCUGGGGAAAGCUGAGGGGAAGAGGAAGAUAUCUUGAAACAGAGGAGGGGGAUUUGGGGUGAAGUAUGUCAGGUCCCUUCUCCAUCAUGACCACCUGAAAGAAGAAACAUCUUGAUUCAAUAGUUGACUCUGAAGGCUCUUCUCAAACUUUCUCAAUCCUGGGUUCAAGUUUCGGUGGUUACACCUGGACAUUGGGGGUUCACUGGUCUGAUCUUUCCUCACUGCAUUGGGUACACCGAGGUGAAGCUUUGCUGGUUUUCCUCUUUACACCAGGUGGACCGAGCGGAAGCCAUGCUGGCCUAAUUGGGUAGAGCGGGCUAGAGCUUGGAAGGCCUUUCUCUUUACACCUGGUAGACCAGGCAAAAGCUUCACUGGCCUAUUCUUUCCUCUCUGCAUUGGGUAGACCAGGCCGAAGCUACAUGAGUAGACUGGGACGGCCCGGAUCUAACCCCAUCACAGGCCUUGAGUUUGACAACCCUGGACUAUAAUGAUGUGGUCCUUCUGUAAAAGACAUAUGGCACUAAAAUACAUACUUGGUUAGAAAAAUGGUAAACAACAUGUAGAUUUGAAACCAGAGAUAUUGUUAGUG